rnacentral:lncRNA from 1 species
CAUGGCAGAUGUUCUCACAUAACUCGUCGAUGUGCCAGCAUUGUAAAUCUGUGAAAUGUGGCAACAAUGAGGUUCACGCAAGCUGUUUGUGGGUCUCGUGUUUCAGUGUAGCAUGGCUUACUGUUUGUGGUGUUCCAUGUGACUUGCUUCUUCUGGUGCUGUUUGAUUCUGACGAUGUAUUGAUAUUCUGUGAAAGAGCAUGUGUUUCUUGUGAAACAGUAUUGAAUAAGUGGUUCCUUUAAGACAUGUCAGCGACUGUUUUUAGAACGUUUCAGUGGUCAACAUAAACCAUCUAAACACUGCAUUCAAGUCUUGGUAACGAAGCUGAAGAUAAAGAGAACAUUGUUAGAUCUGCAUAGUGGGGAGUACCUGCAGUUAUUGGAAGAAAGUAUGGGUAAGGUAAAGACACAAUUGUUGGCAUUGCCCAUAAAGUCUCUUAGCUGUUUAUUGCAGGAAUCUGGAAUAUCGUGUAGCACGUGUCACAGAGCUGCUGAGAAAGCAGGCCUGUAUCCCUACAAGUUUACAGUUAUUCAUGAACUGAUACAGACUGACCAUGAUAAACUCUAACAUAUUGCCAUUGCUCUAAAUCUUUCGAAGUUAUACACUGCCGCUUAGUUAAAAUAUGAAAUUAUCCGCACUAUGGCAGGAUUUAGAUUGCAAACAUCGUGAUAAAGUAC